UACGUAGGGUGCAAGCGUUAAUCGGAAUUACUGGGCGUAAAGCGUGCGCAGGCGGCCGAGCAAGUCGAGUGUGAAAGCCCCGAGCUUAACUUGGGAACUGCGCUCGAAACUACUUGGCUAGAGUGUGGCAGAGGGAGGUGGAAUUCCACGUGUAGCGGUGAAAUGCGUAGAGAUGUGGAGGAACACCGAUGGCGAAGGCAGCCUCCUGGGCCAACACUGACGCUCAUGCACGAAAGCGUGGGGAGCAAACAGG
rnacentral:rRNA from 1 species